GGCUUGAUAGUUCAGUGGCAGAAUUCAUGCUUUGGGUGUAUGAGGUCCUGGGUUCAAUCCCCAGUCAAGCCC